rnacentral:tRNA from 1 species
GCCUGGGUGGCUCAGUGGGUUGAGCGUCCUACUUCAGCCCAGCUCAUGAUCUUGCAGUUUGUGAGUUCAAGCCCCACCUUGGGCU